rnacentral:rRNA from 1 species
UCUUUUUGUUUUUAAAAGACCUUCUUAUGAAGGUAUGCUUAAAGAGGGGCUUGCGCCACAUUAGUUAGUUGGUAGAGUAAAAGCCUACCAAGACGAUGAUGUGUAGCUGGACUGAGAGGUUGAACAGCCACAUUGGGACUGAGACACGGCCCAAACUCCUACGGGAGGCAGCAGUAGGGAAUUUUCGGCAAUGGAGGAAACUCUGACCGAGCAACGCCGCGUGAACGAUGAAGUAUUUCGGUAUGUAAAGUUCUUUUAUUGAAGAAGAAAAAGUAGUGGAAAAACUAUAUUGACGUUAUUCAAUGAAUAAGCCCCGGCUAACUAUGUGCCAGCAGCCGCGGUAAGACAUAGGGGGCGAGCGUUAUCCGGAAUUAUUGGGCGUAAAGGGUGCGUAGGCUGUUAGAUAAGUCUAUAAUUUAAUUUCAGUGCUUAACGCUGUCUUGUUAUAGAAACUGUCUUGACUAGAGUGAGAUAGAGGCAAGCGGAAUUCCAUGUGUAGCGGUAAAAUGUGUAAAUAUAUGGAGGAACACCAGAAGCGUAGGCGGCUUGCUGGGUCUUUACUGACGCUGAGGCACGAAAGCGUGGGUAGCAAACAGGAUUAGAUACCCUGGUAGUCCACGCCGUAAACGAUGAGUACUAAGUGUCGGGGUAAAACUCGGUACUGAAGUUAACACAUUAAGUACUCCGCCUGAGUAGUACGUACGCAAGUAUGAAACUUAAAGGAAUUGACGGGACUCCGCACAAGCGGUGGAUCAUGUUGUUUAAUUCGAAGAUACACGAAAAAUCUUACCAGGUCUUGACAUACUCUGCAAAGCUAUAGAAAUAUAGUGGAGGUUAUCAGGGAUACAGGUGGUGCAUGGUUGUCGUCAGUUCGUGUCGUGAGAUGUUAGGUUAAGUCCUAAAACGAGCGCAACCCUUGUCGUUAAUUGCCAGCACGUAAUGGUGGGGACUUUAACGAGACUGCCAAUUAAACAUUGGAGGAAGGUGAGGAUUACGUCAAAUCAUCAUGCCCCUUAUGAUCUGGGCUACAAACGUGAUACAAUGGCUGUGACAAAGAGUAGCUGAAACGCGAGUUUUUAGCCAAUCUCAAAAAAGCAGUCUCAGUUCGGAUUGAAGUCUGUAACUCGACUUCAUGAAGUUGGAAUCGCUAGUAAUCGCGAAUCAGCAUGUCGCGGUGAAUACGUUCUCGGGGUUUGUACAC